rnacentral:rRNA from 1 species
AAGUCGAGCGGUAGCACAAGAGAGCUUGCUCUCUGGGUGACGAGCGGCGGACGGGUGAGUAAUGUCUGGGAAACUGCCUGAUGGAGGGGGAUAACUACUGGAAACGGUAGCUAAUACCGCAUAACGUCGCAAGACCAAAGAGGGGGACCUUCGGGCCUCUUGCCAUCAGAUGUGCCCAGAUGGGAUUAGCUAGUAGGUGGGGUAAUGGCUCACCUAGGCGACGAUCCCUAGCUGGUCUGAGAGGAUGACCAGCCACACUGGAACUGAGACACGGUCCAGACUCCUACGGGAGGCAGCAGUGGGGAAUAUUGCACAAUGGGCGCAAGCCUGAUGCAGCCAUGCCGCGUGUGUGAAGAAGGCCUUCGGGUUGUAAAGCACUUUCAGCGAGGAGGAAGGUGGUGAGCUUAAUACGCUCAUCAAUUGACGUUACUCGCAGAAGAAGCACCGGCUAACUCCGUGCCAGCAGCCGCGGUAAUACGGAGGGUGCAAGCGUUAAUCGGAAUUACUGGGCGUAAAGCGCACGCAGGCGGUUUGUUAAGUCAGAUGUGAAAUCCCCGGGCUCAACCUGGGAACUGCAUUUGAAACUGGCAAGCUAGAGUCUCGUAGAGGGGGGUAGAAUUCCAGGUGUAGCGGUGAAAUGCGUAGAGAUCUGGAGGAAUACCGGUGGCGAAGGCGGCCCCCUGGACGAAGACUGACGCUCAGGUGCGAAAGCGUGGGGGAGCAAACAGGAUUAGAUACCCUGGUAGUCCACGCUGUAAACGAUGUCGAUUUGGAGGUUGUGCCCUUGAGGCGUGGCUUCCGGAGCUAACGCGUUAAAUCGACCGCCUGGGGAG